rnacentral:misc_RNA from 1 species
GCGGACGGUUAUCUACCACCAUGUUCAAAUCAUGCUUCGAGGCUUCCACGACCUUCAAUCCAAUCUUAUCCGCUAUCCUCAUCACCUUCUCCACACCCUUCUUAUCCUUCUUCUUCUUGCUGUUCCCACUCAAGUCCAACACCUCCUGAACGUAAAGAGCAUAGAAUUCCCUCCUUGCAAUCGAUAAGGCCGCGAGAACUGGACCUACACCAUA